rnacentral:tRNA from 1 species
GGGCCGGUAGCUCAGUGGCAGAGCAGCGGACUCUUAAUCCGUCGGUCGGGGGUUCGAGUCCCCCCCGGCUCA